UUCGCAAUGCCCGAAAGGGUGACGAAGCGACGCCGCGUGGGUGAGGAAGGCCUUCGGGUUGUAAAGCCCUGUCAGGAGUUAAGAAAUGUAAGUGUGCUAAUAUCGCAUUUACUUGACGAAGGCUCCAAAGGAAGUCACGGCUAACUCUGUGCCAGCAGCCGCGGUAAUACAGAGGUGGCAAGCGUUGUUCGGAAUUAUUGGGCGUAAAGAGCACGUAGGUGGGUUUGUAAGUCAGAUGUGAAAGCCUCCUGUUCAACGGGAGAAUUGCAUCUGAAACUACUGAUCUUGAGUAUAGGAGGGGAGAAUGGAACUUCUGGUGGAGCGGUGAAAUGCGUAGAUAUCAGAAGGAACGCCGGCGGCGAAAGCGAUUCUCUGGCCUAUUACUGGCACUCAGUGUGCGAAAGCUAGGGGAGCAAACGGGAUUAGAUACCCCGGUAGUCCUAGCCGUAAACGAUGGGCACUAAGUAGAGGGGUUUU
rnacentral:rRNA from 2 species